AUUCCAGCUCCAAUAGCGUAUAUUAAUGUUGUUGCAGUUAAAAAGCUCGUAGUUGGAUUUCUGGUCGGGACGUCUGGCCGGCUCCGCAAGGGGUCGUUGCAUUGACUGUACUCGUCCAUCCUCAGGUUGACUAGCUCUGGUAUUUAUUUAUCGGUGUUAGAACGCCUGUCGUUUACUGUGAACAAAUUAGAGUGUUCAAAGCAAGGUGUACUUGAAUACAUUAGCAUGGAAUAAUAAGAUAGGACUUUGGUGGUUCUUUUUAGAUAUUUUGUUGGUUUGCACGCCAAAGUAAUGAUUAAUAGGAGCAGUUGGGGGUAUUCGUAUUCAAUUGUCAGAGGUGAAAUUCUGUGAUUCGCGAAAGACUAACUUAUGCGAAAGCAUUCACCAAGGAUGCCUUCAUUG
rnacentral:rRNA from 1 species